rnacentral:rRNA from 1 species
CCUACGGGUGGCAGCAGUGAGGAAUAUUGGUCAAUGGACGCAAGUCUGAACCAGCCAUGCCGCGUGCAGGAAGACGGCUCUAUGAGUUGUAAACUGCUUUUGUACGAGGGUAAACGCAGAUACGCGUAUCUGUCUGAAAGUAUCGUACGAAUAAGGAUCGGCUAACUCCGUGCCAGUAGCCGCGGUAAUACGGAGGAUUCAAGCGUUAUCCGGAUUUAUUGGGUUUAAAGGGUGCGUAGGCGGUCGGAUAAGUUAGAGGUGAGAUCCCGGGGCUCAACUUCGGAAUUGCCUCUGAUACUGUACGGCUAGAGAGUAGUUGCGGUAGGCGGAAUGUAUGGUGUAGCGGUGAAAUGCUUAGAGAUCAUACAGAACACCGAUUGCGAAGGCAGCUUACCAGGCUACUUCUGACGUUGAGGCACGAAAGCGUGGGGAGCAAACAGGAUUAGAUACCCUGGUAGUC